rnacentral:rRNA from 1 species
UGGGGAUUAGCCUGGAUUACAUAUCCCUGGUAUUCCAGGUCCGUGAUCGAAUGAAUUCGUAGGUGUUGGGAGUUUAACUCUCGGUGCCGAAGUUAACACAUUAAGCAUUCUGCCUGGGGAGUACGGUGGCAAGAUUGAAACUCAAAGGAAUUGACGGGGACCCGCACAAGCAGUGGAGCAUGUGGUUUAAUUCGAAGCAACGCGAAGAACCUUACCAGGGCUUGACAUAUAGUUGAGUUAUUGAGAAAUUGAUAAGUCCCUGGGGACGGAAUACAGGUGGUGCAUGGUUGUGUCAGUCG